rnacentral:rRNA from 1 species
GAUGAACGCUGGCGGCGUGCCUAAUACAUGCAAGUCGAGCGAACGGACGAGAAGCUUGCUUCUCUGAUGUUAGCGGCGGACGGGUGAGUAACACGUGGAUAACCUACCUAUAAGACUGGGAUAACUUCGGGAAACCGGAGCUAGUACCGGAUGAUAUUUUGAACCGCAUGGUUCAAAAGUGAAAGACGGUCUUGCUGUCACUUAUAGAUGGAUCCGCGCUGUAUUAGCUAGUUGGUAAGGUAACGGCUUACCAAGGCAACGAUGCAUAGCCGACCUGAGAGGGUGAUCGGCCACACUGGAACUGAGACACGGUCCAGACUCCUACGGGAGGCAGCAGUAGGGAAUCUUCCGCAAUGGGCGAAAGCCUGACGGAGCAACGCCGCGUGAGUGAUGAAGGUCUUCGGAUCGUAAAACUCUGUUAUUAGGGAAGAACAUAUGUGUAAGUAACUGUGCACAUCUUGACGGUACCUAAUCAGAAAGCCACGGCUAACUACGUG